rnacentral:rRNA from 1 species
GUGCCAGCCGCCGCGGUAAUACCGGCAGCCCGAGUGAUGGCCGAUCUUAUUGGGCCUAAAGCGUCCGUAGCUGGCUGCGCAAGUCCGUCGGGAAAUCCACUCGCCCAACGAGUGGGCGUCCGGCGGAAACUGUGCGGCUUGGGACCGGAAGAUCCGAGGGGUAUGUCCGGGGUAGGAGUGAAAUCCCGUAAUCCUGCACGGACCACCGAUGGCGAAAGCACUUCGAGAAAACGGAUCCGACAGUGAGGGACGAAAGCCAGGGUCUCCAACCGGAUUAGAUACCCGUGUAGUCC